GAUGAACGCUGGCGGCGUGCCUAAUACAUGCAAGUCGAGCGAACGGACGAGAAGCUUGCUUCUCUGACGUUAGCGGCGGACGGGUGAGUAACACGUGGAUCACCUACCUAUAAGACUGGGAUAACUUCGGGAAACCGGCGCUAAUACCGGAUAAUAUUUUGAACCGCAUGGUUCAAUAGUGAAAGACGGUCUUGCUGUCACUUAUAGAUGGAUCCGCGCUGCAUUAGCUAGUUGGUAAGGUAACGGCUUACCAAGGCAACGAUGCGUAGCCGACCUGUGAGGGUGAUCGGCCACACUGGAACUGAGACACGGUCCAGACUCCUACGGGAGGCAGCAGUAGGGAAUCUUCCGCAAUGGGCGAAAGCCUGACGGAGCAACGCCGCGUGAGUGAUGAAGGUCUUCGGAUCGUAAAACUCUGUUAUUAGGGAAGAACAUAUGUGUAAUUAACUGUGCACGUCUUGACGGUACCUAAUCAGAAAGCCACGGCUAACUACGUG
rnacentral:rRNA from 1 species